GCUUGACAUUGAAAAUUAAAUUGAAACUUACAUUUUAAAUUAAUGAUUAAUUAUAAACCAUGAUAAUUAUCACUUUUGAUUUUAAACAAAAUGUUGAUUAAAACUUCAUUAACUCUUGAAGAUUUUUACAUAUUGAUUAAGUUUUUGCUAAUUUGAGGUUUAUUAAGAGUUGAAUAUGUUUUGUUUUUUUGUUACAUUGCUUCUAGUGUUUUCAAGUGACCAUUAAUAAGAUGUUGGAUCCAAGAUUUGUAUCUAAUUGACAAACUUUUUGAUCAAAUAUGCUUCUCAAAGGUUACCCUUGUGUGUGUGUGUUGAUCAAUUAUCAAUUUCAAAUGAUGAUUUUGUUCCCAGCUAAAGAUGAGAAGCAAAAAAAAGCAAAUGAUGAAAAUUUAAGCUUAGUUAAGGAAAACAAACGUUCGCCUAAGGCCAUUAUAAAGGUUACUGACGAUGAUGAUAAUGGUGAUGAUGAUGGACUUAAAAGUUAAUAAGCAGGGAGGAGGAAUAAAAAGCCACGUCUAAAGCUUACUAGAAAUGAUCAGCGAGAUGAAAGUAAAUUUUCACUUGAAGACCAUUUACUGGACAACUCCAGGUAACCUAAAUUUGAACAACCACAUGGACAAUGGAGUCAAUCAUUUCACUUAAACCAUGGAAUGAUAACAAUGGCUUUAACGGCGUAAAACCUCAUGUUGGUUAUUGUUUCCAUCCUGAGGUGGUUAACUGUUUGCUGUACCUAAUACUUGGUUAAACUCAAUUUGUCAUCUCAAAUCUAAUUGUUACCUGUUCAUGAUGUCUAAAUGUGAUUCAACGUUUACCUAAAAUAAUUCCAAUUCCUUCUGGCUUUUUCACAAUAUCUCCCGGUUUUCAGGUUAAUAGAGUCUUGCAAAUUGUUGAUAUUUACAAUAAUCAUUAUUUAUGAUAAUUUAAUGUAAAUUUAAUCUCAAAUGGUUUGAUAAUUUUUAUUUGAUUGUAAAUAAUGGACUCUAUCUACUGUAUAUUUUACAGAUAAUACAAAAGUCAUUUGUACAGUUGAAGCCAAAUUUUUCCAUUCAACUUGAUUGAUGCUAUUCAAGUAGCUACUGUAAACCCAAAUUUUACCUCUUUAUUUUAAUAAAACCCUUCUAAUUGUUUCUUGAUUAC